GUUAGUUGUCGGUCCAGAUGAAUUCCAAGGUAUUUUGCACUUUCUUUUUGCUGCAGAAGAUGCCCGUUUAAUAUUAAUUACAUUUGGGUUCACAAGGAAAUGGCGUCAGAGUUAGUCGGCAAUAUAUGAGAGACGUCUGCAUAUGUUGUGGUAGUUAAUUUGUUGUGUGUGGGAAUAUCAGCUGUGUACAUAAAAUAGAGGAUCGGGCCAAGUGCACUUCCCUGUGGAAUUCCUGACAUAAUUGGAUAUAGAGUGGUGAUGUAAUCUUGGAUUUUGACAUGAAAGUGUCUGUUUUACAGGUAGGAUUUUAGGAAUUGUAAAAGGUUGUGCGGAAGGUUUUUCCUGUUACAAAGAUUGAGAUAAGCAAAAUAAGUAUCAAAUAAAUGAAUACAGGUUGGAUAUUACAGCAACAAAAAUGAAAAUUAAAUUAUUAAAUUUACUCAGUUUCUAGCAAAACCAAAAUCCAUAAAGAAAGUCUGUGAUUAAAUGGAAAUUAUUGAAUAGUAGAAGUAGUUAACAACAAAAAUGAAGAAAAUAUGAUUAAAAGGAGCAAUAACCUCAACUGAAUUAGUAAAAA